rnacentral:rRNA from 1 species
UGGUGGGUUGCCUUGUCAGGUUGAUUCCGGUAACGAACGAGACCUCAGCCUGCUAAAUAGUUAGCGGUACUCUGGUACUGACCUAACUUCUUAGAGGGACUAUUGGCGUUUAGCCAAUGGAAGUGUGAGGCAAUAACA